AUGGUCGGCAUGAUAGAUUCGAGGAGAUCUCGGUUUAAUCGGGGUCGCUCUAAGAGUGACAUUUUUGUUAUGGCAUUCCCCUCAGCUGAACUUGAUGGUGCCCCAAAAAUGUGGUCGAUUUAUGCUCGGGCUCUUUAGAGGGUGGUGCAGGCCAGGCAUUAUUGUUCCUAAUCCUUACCUUGGUGGGUUGGCGAGGUAGUUCCAGUGACAAUGCUCGAGAAGAAUUUUGAGGUUUUGGUAAGCCUCACUUCUUUUCGAAUUGGCUGAGGAAGGAGUCGCUGAUGAUGAUCAGGAUGAUGCCAGGGCAGGAAGAGGUUCCGUACUUUUAACUCUUUUGAAUGCAGGGAUAGUGGCAGGUGAUUUCGGUUGAUCUUUUCUUUUCGUCUCCUCCACCUUUGUUGGAUUGAACAUCAUUUCUGUAGUAGAUAUAUAUUUUAGAACAUUGAAGAUAAAAAAGAGAGAAGUUAAAAAAAUAAAACACUCCGAUCUUACCCCGAGGAGAGUACAGACUGAUUCUGACAUCGUACAAUGUCUGAUCAUUUAUCAAAGUAGAGAGCUUGGGUGUUUUGGUGGUGAUCAAGGUUGAAUGAGCCACCUCAUCCCUGGAGAGAAUUUCAUUAUGAGAAUUAUAUUUGGUAUCCGGAUGCUCCCAUGAAGUUCUAAAACCCCAGGGAAUAAGAGUCCGGACAAAGAAGAAACGGCCUUUCCAUCCAUGAAUGGAAGAAGGAAGGCUGGGUUUGAAUUUACAGCCCUUC
rnacentral:lncRNA from 1 species